UGGGAGUCUAGACUCACAAGCAUUCUCUAC
rnacentral:piRNA from 1 species